rnacentral:rRNA from 1 species
UACAGAGGUCCCAAGCGUUGUUCGGAUUCACUGGGCGUAAAGGGUGCGUAGGUGGUGAGGUAAGUCGGAUGUGAAAUCUCCGAGCUCAACUCGGAAACUGCAUUGGAAACUACCUUGCUCGAGGGUUGGAGGGGGGACUGGAAUGCUUGGUGUAGCAGUGAAAUGCGUAGAUAUCAAGCGGAACACAAGUGGCGAAGGCGAGUCCCUGGACAACUCCUGACACUGAGGCACGAAAGCUAGGGGAGCAAACAGG